rnacentral:rRNA from 1 species
AGAACUCGGCAUCAUCAUCUGCAGAGCUUCUGUUCGGACGAAGGAUUCUGAAGGCCUAUUUGCGACGGAAGGACCGGGCGCAGGCUCGCUGGGACCACAUGAAGAGCGGGUUCGAGGAGAUUUUGCUCGAGAUUCGGCAUGUGCGUCAUCAUGUUGAGAGGCUUGAAGCGGGUGGAGCUCAUCGUGGACUCAAGCGUGAGUAAAAGGCGACUAUGUCACCUUGGGAGCGAAGGUGACGGAAGUGUGUAUUGCGUAUGGAUUGACGUGCGUUAAGGCAGCUACGACUAGGAAAAACUGCCGCGUGAGCUCGUUCUCGAGCCCCAAGAGCAGAGGCCGAGUGUAGUUAGCUUUGCGGUUAAUGAAUUUAUCAACAUGAAUGCUUAUUGAUGAAUGCUUAUUGAAACACAGUUAGAUGCAGAUAUUGUAGGCGUCCUAGAUGCUGAAGUACAUGUGUAUUUGGUAACUCAGGGAGUUACCAGAGAAAAUCUCUGCUGUCUAGGAGACUGUACUCACGAUAUUGCUGUGGUUACAAAAAUGCUACAGUAUUACAUGUAAAAUGCUCAGGCUGAAUCUGAGUCUGAAUAGCUGAUUUGGGCUUUAUCACUUAUGCGAGGGCGGAGGUGGUACGGACUGGGCUAUAUCACUUAUGGGAGGGCGGAGGGCUCAAUUUGGGCCGGGUUUGUUGAUUGCGCUGCGACGGGUUCUUUCGAGAAUACAAACUGGCAGUAUACGGAUCAGCAGCAAGAAAAAUGUAGACCAAGAUAAAAGAGGGAUCGGCUGGACCUCAUCUUUUAUAGUGAAUAAUGGUGGUAAUGCUUGCGUUUACUAUGGCAAGCCAUUACUAUCAAAAUAUACUGCGAAAGGUGAAACUCAAAACUUCAUACGAAAAGACAUUGUGCGACUCCGUCAAAGUGAGUACGAUCGACGAGCGCGUAGCCCCGAACAUGCACGAAACCCGGAUGGGGUGGCUGCAGAGCGGUGGUGGAUAAGUGGUUGGUCACCGUCCAUUCGCCUUCAUCCGCCGUUUGUUUAUUCGGCCUCAUUCGCGAAUCUGCCUCGGAGACAACAAGCGCCUUGAAAUGCUACCACUACCGUGCUUGAGAUUUGGCGCCCAUGUAGUCAUAUCUCGAUCUUGUAAGAUUGACACCUCGGUAGUCUCGCCUACUUCUGUGCGGACGCAAACUCGAAGCUCACACAAUUUACAUACACCGACUUCAGCAUUGGCAGUCGUCCAUUCGUCCAUCCAGCUGUGGGCUGAAGAUUGGGAGUAGCCCCAACACAGCCGAAGUCCACCCCCAAGCGUGUUUUGUGUCAAGAUGCUGCACGAAGCGCUGCACGACACCCAAGUCUCCCUCGGCUGACUCCUGAAACCAGGAGCACGGAUCAAGCUCGCUCAAGCUGUGUAUCAACUGGAGCUAGGCCAAGUUGCUGUCAAGGCUCCGGCCCACGACGCCAAUAAGUCUACCAUGCCAGAAUUGCCACGUCGACGGUCGCUAGUCUGAUCAAGAUGCCUGGAUGCAACAAGCCCUCAACAUGGAUCAAGCCACCGUUUCUGGCACCAUGAGGUCCAUUGAGAAGCCAUUCAAAGGAGUGGAAGCUGUGUGAGCCUCCACAUAUAUGCUCGUCCUCGACCUCAUCUGGAAGCCACCUUAUGAAUGUGCAGGCUAGCGUGGGGGCUGUUCGCGGUUGCAAUUGCGUCUACAGCAGUGAUUGCAGUAGCACCAAGUUGCAGGCAUUACUCCAUAUCACACUAGUUCCUGCCACUGAUGAUGUGAUCCCUGCCACUGAUUAUGUGUUGGCGGUGCUGUGUUGUGACUCGUACACCUUCUAUCAGUGUCGACCCAAGCCGAGGACGGUCAUUUUCCCAAGUGCCAUCCAGAGUGUACGCAAACAUUACCGCAGUUCCUGGCUGUUGAUGUCAUUGCUGCCGCUUCAAAGUCUUUGCCGUUGCCGCCACCUAUGCUACCACGCCCAGGCUGUUGGUGCUGUCGGUAUCAACGGUACCAAGCUCACGUCGUCGGUGACACAGACCCCAAUGCCACCCCCAAGUAGCAUCUGUGUGGCCUCGCGGUCGCUCAGUUCUAGUUGUAAACUUGGGCUUUUGCCUGGGUGAGCUACGUGGAAGACAUCGUCAGGUGGGGAGUUUGGCUGGGGCGGCACAUCUGUUAAAUGAUAACACAGGUGUCCUAAGGUGAGCUCAAUGAGAACAGAAAUCUCAUGUAGACAAAAGGGUAAAAGCUCACUUGAUUUUGAUUUUCAGUAUGAAUACAAACCGUGAAAGCGUGGCCUAUCGAUCCUUUAGUUCUUUUGAAUUUUAAGCUAGAGGUGUCAGAAAAGUUACCACAGGGAUAACUGGCUUGUGGCAGCCAAGCGUCCAUAGCGACGUUGCUUUUUGAUUCUUCGAUGUCGGCUCUUCCUAUCAUUGCGAAGUAGAACUCGCCAAUUGUUGGAUUGUUCACCCACUAAUAGGGAACGUGAGCUGGGUUUAGACCGUCGUGAGACAGGUUAGUUUUACCCUACUGAUGAGUUCGUUGUCUAAACAGUAAUCCAACCCAGUACGAGAGGAACCGUUGGUUCAGAUAAUUGGUAACUGCGGUUAGCUGAAAAGCUAGUGCCGCCAAGCUACCAUCUGUAGGAUUAUGGCUGAACGCCUCUAAGUCAGAAUCCAUGCUGGAAUAGACGAUAAUCACCUUUCCCGAUGUGCCGCGAAUAGCGAUAGGUGUCUUCUGGACACCCAACAUCAUACAAUUGCAACGCACUCCGCUGCCUGUCAAGUACUGGCGGUGGAGAGUAGGCUGAUUUGUAAUUUCAAAUAUUGGGAAAGAUAAAUCC